rnacentral:rRNA from 1 species
UACAGAGGGGGCGAGCGUUGUUCGGAAUUACUGGGCGUAAAGGGCGCGUAGGCGGCCCGCUAAGUCGAACGUGAAAUCCCCAGGCUCAACCUGGGAACUGCGUCCGAUACUGGCAGGCUUGAAUCCGGGAGAGGGAUGUGGAAUUCCAGGUGUAGCGGUGAAAUGCGUAGAUAUCUGGAGGAACACCGGUGGCGAAGGGGCCCCAUUGGUACGUAACUGACGCUGAGGCACGAAAGCGUGGGGAGCAAACAGG